GGGCUAUCGGGGGAUUAGGGUUCGAUUCCGGAGAGGGAGCCUGAGAAACGGCUACCACUUCUACGGAAGGCAGCAGGCGCGAAAAUUAUCCAAUCCUGAUUCAGGGAGGUAGUGAAAGAAAUAAUGAACUAGGAUUUAUCCUGGGGUCACAAUGGGCUUGAUUUGCAAACUUUAUUUAGCGAGGAACAAUUGGAGGGCAAGUCUGGUGCCAGCAGCCGCGGUAAUUCCAGCUCCAAUAGUGUAUAUUAAUGUUCCUGCAGUUAUUCGAUGCUCGUAGUUGGAUUUCUGGGGGCUGAGAUUGGAAGGUGGCCAAGGUCACCGCCGAACUCUUCCUUCAUCCACCUGUUAACGUUGUCCGGGAUUUGUUUCUCGGCUUCAGGCUCAGGUAUUUUACCCUUUCUAUAUAUUCAUUUAUUUAUCUUCUUUUUGAGUAAAUUAUAGUGUUUCAGGCAGGCGUGCGCCGGAAUACUUUAGCAUGGAAUAAUCGAAUUGGACCGUGUAUUCUUAUAGAAUUCUUCCUUAUUUGUUGGUUUCAAGGACACGGAAAUGGUUAAUAGGGAUAGUGUUUUCAGGGGAGGCAUUAGUAUUUAAUUUCCAGAGGUGAAAUUCUUUGAAAUAUUAAAGACUAACUUAUGCGAAAGCAUUUAUUUUGCCAAUAAUGUUUUCAUUAAUCAUUGAACGAAAGUUAGGGGAUCAAAGACGAUCAGAUACCGUCCUAGUCUUAACCAUAAACGUUGCCGACUAGGGAUCGGAGGGCGUGCACAUUCCGCCUUCGGCACCUUACGAGAAAUCAAAGUCUUUUGGGUUCUGGGGGUAGUAUGGUCGCAAGGCUGAAACUUAAAGGAAUUGACGGAAGGGCACCACCAGGAGUGGAGCUUGCGGCUCAAUUUGACUCAACACGGGAAAUCUUACCAGGUCCAGACAUAGCGAGGAUUGACAGAUUGAUAGCUUUUUCUUGAUUCUAUGGGUAUUUAUUUUAAUUUUGGUGGUGCAUGGCCGUUCUUAGUUGGUGGAGUGAUUUGUCUGGUUAAUUCCGUUAAACGAACGAGACCUCAGCCUGCUAUAUAGUUACCUGUCUUUCUUUUACGAGACUUGAUAACUUCUUAGAGGGACGUUGUGUGCAACCACAAGGAAGUUGAGGCAAUAACAGGUCUGUGAUGCCCUUAGAUGUCCUGGGCCGCACGCGUGCUACACUGAUACGUACAACAAGGUAUAUGCAUUUAUGCAUCGAUGCUGCUCCGAAAUAGACACAGCUAAAUCUUCUAAAAUACGUAUCGUGCUGCGGAUAGAUCGUUGAAAUUAUGGAUCUUGAAGGUGGAAUUCCUAGUAAGCGCGGGUCAUCAACCCGCGUUGAUUACGUCCCUGCCCUUUGUACACACCGCCCGUCGCUCCUACCAAUUUCGAGUGGCUCGGUGAACCUCUUUGGACUGUCGAGCAAUCGCGAAAUUAGAGUGAACCUGGUCACUUAGAGGAAGGAGAAGUCGUAACAAGGUU
rnacentral:rRNA from 1 species